rnacentral:rRNA from 1 species
CCCUACGGGAGGCAGCAGUGGGGAAUAUUGGACAAUGGGCGCAAGCCUGAUCCAGCAAUGCCGCGUGUGUGAAGAAGGCCCUCGGGUUGUAAAGCACUUUUAUCAGGAACGAAAUACCACGGGCUAAUACCCCAUGGGGCUGACGGUACCUGAGGAAUAAGCACCGGCUAACUUCGUGCCAGCAGCCGCGGUAAUACGAAGGGUGCAAGCGUUAAUCGGAAUUACUGGGCGUAAAGGGUGCGUAGGCGGUUUGUUAAGUCUGUUGUGAAAUCCCCGGGCUCAACCUGGGAAUGGCAAUGGAUACUGGCAAGCUAGAGUGUGUCAGAGGAUGGUGGAAUUUCCGGUGUAGCGGUGAAAUGCGUAGAGAUCGGAAGGAACAUCAGUGGCGAAGGCGGCCAUCUGGGACAACACUGACGCUGAAGCACGAAAGCGUGGGGAGCAAACAGGAUUAGAUACCCUGGUAGUCCACGCCCUAAACGAUGCGAACUGGAUGUUGGUCUCAACUCGGAGAUCAGUGUCGAAGCUAACGCGUUAAGUUCGCCGCCUGGGGAGUACGGUCGCAAGACUGAAACUCAAAGGAAUUGACGG